UCUGCGAACCACCCUGCCACACUAUGACAGAUCAGGCUUUUGUGAUGCUGACCACAAAUGAUGCUAAUGCCAAAAGUGCACUGGUCCUGGGCUCAUCUUUGAAACAGCACAGAACUACUAGGAGGAUGGUUGUACUCACCAGCCCACAGGUUUCAGACUCCAUAAGAAAAGUUUUAGAGACUGUCUUUGAUGAAGUCAUCAUGGUAGAUGUCUUGGACAGUGGUGAUUCUGCUCAUCUCACCUUUAUGAAGAGACCUGAGUUGGGCAUCACGUUGACUAAACUCCACUGCUGGUCACUUACUCAGUAUUCCAAAUGUGUGUUCAUGGAUGCAGAUACUCUGGUCCUCUCAAAUACUGAUGAUCUGUUUGAAAGAGAAGAAUUGUCAGCAGCACCAGACCCAGGGUGACCUGACUGUUUCAACUCUGGAGUCUUUGUCUAUCAACCCUCAAUUGAAACAUACAACCAGCUGUUGCAUCUUGCUUCUGAGCAACGUAGUUUUGAUGGUGGGGACCAGGGUCUACUGAAUACAUACUUUAGUGUCUGGGCAACCACAGAUAUCACAAAACACCUGCCAUUUGUGUAUAAGUAA